rnacentral:lncRNA from 1 species
GUAAAUAAAAGCUCUGUUCUGACGUCAUAAUCGCUGAGUUGGAACCUGGCUUUGCCACAGGCAUGCCUUCACAGAAGUCACUUAACUAAGUCUAGGUUCCUCAUCUGUGAACUGAGAAAACUAAAAGCACUGAUUCCAUGGGGUGCUGUGAGUAUUAAGUCCAUGGAAGGUUCUCAGGGGGUGCCUUCCCGGAGCAAAAUAUGCAUGUAACAAAUAUCAGCCAUCAUUAUUUCUACUAAAGCACUGAAAGAAACACAACUAAAAGACCUAAAACACAGCUUUAUAUUUUAUAGUGAUUUUGGGGGGGCAUGCCAUAGGAAAUGAUUUGAUAUCUGUAGAUUUUAAAGUCAAAAUGUUUCAUGGCUAAUUGAGAAAAAUCUUGGGCUCUUUAAGAUUAGUGUGAGGUUUAGAGAUAAUAAAUGUAAAGCAUGUGACAUAGUGCCUGACAGAUACUCAGUAAGUUGUAGGAGGUUCUAUUAUUACCAAUAUCAUCAUGAUUCAUACAUUUCUUUUCUCUCCACUUUGGCUUGACAUGUGGAUACAUGAGGCCAGUAGGAAGAAGUCACCCAUGACUAUCUGGAACAACAUUGUGGGGAAGGCCAAGUUUCUGUGGUGACGUGUGGCAAAUGGAUUGUAAAUGAAGAUAGACUGUGUAAUGAAUGACGACACUAAAGACUAAUGUGAAGGACUUUAGGGAAAACAAAAGGCUUUCAUCUGAAAGGAUGAUCUGUGGACCAAGGUCACUCAUACCACUCACUGCUCAUUUUCUCAUGUUAUUUUAAAACUUUUUUCGGCCUUUAUACUGCUUUCAGCAGCAUUUGUGUGUAAGAAGUGGACGAUGACUUUAAUAAAGAGACCCGAAUGGAACUGAAUGGAGCAUUUGUUUUUGAAGCAACUUUUACUGUCCUCAGUUUUAU